GGGUUGUGAGGUUAAGCGACUAAGCGUACACGGUGGAUGCCCUGGCAGUCAGAGGCGAUGAAGGACGUGCUAAUCUGCGAUAAGCGUCGGUAAGGUGAUAUGAACCGUUAUAACCGGCGAUUUCCGAAUGGGGAAACCCAGUGUGUUUCGACACACUAUCAUUAACUGAAUCCAUAGGUUAAUGAGGCGAACCGGGGGAACUGAAACAUCUAAGUACCCCGAGGAAAAGAAAUCAACCGAGAUUCCCCCAGUAGCGGCGAGCGAACGGGGAGCAGCCCAGAGCCUGAAUCAGUGUGUGUGUUAGUGGAAGCGUCUGGAAAGGCGCGCGAUACAGGGUGACAGCCCCGUACACAAAAAUGCACAUACUGUGAGCUCGAUGAGUAGGGCGGGACACGUGGUAUCCUGUCUGAAUAUGGGGGGACCAUCCUCCAAGGCUAAAUACUCCUGACUGACCGAUAGUGAACCAGUACCGUGAGGGAAAGGCGAAAAGAACCCCGGCGAGGGGAGUGAAAAAGAACCUGAAACCGUGUACGUACAAGCAGUGGGAGCACGCUUAGGCGUGUGACUGCGUACCUUUUGUAUAAUGGGUCAGCGACUUAUAUUCUGUAGCAAGGUUAACCGAAUAGGGGAGCCGAAGGGAAACCGAGUCUUAACUGGGCGUUAAGUUGCAGGGUAUAGACCCGAAACCCGGUGAUCUAGCCAUGGGCAGGUUGAAGGUUGGGUAACACUAACUGGAGGACCGAACCGACUAAUGUUGAAAAAUUAGCGGAUGACUUGUGGCUGGGGGUGAAAGGCCAAUCAAACCGGGAGAUAGCUGGUUCUCCCCGAAAGCUAUUUAGGUAGCGCCUCGUGAAUUCAUCUCCGGGGGUAGAGCACUGUUUCGGCAAGGGGGUCAUCCCGACUUACCAACCCGAUGCAAACUGCGAAUACCGGAGAAUGUUAUCACGGGAGACACACGGCGGGUGCUAACGUCCGUCGUGAAGAGGGAAACAACCCAGACCGCCAGCUAAGGUCCCAAAGUCAUGGUUAAGUGGGAAACGAUGUGGGAAGGCCCAGACAGCCAGGAUGUUGGCUUAGAAGCAGCCAUCAUUUAAAGAAAGCGUAAUAGCUCACUGGUCGAGUCGGCCUGCGCGGAAGAUGUAACGGGGCUAAACCAUGCACCGAAGCUGCGGCAGCGACGCUUAUGCGUUGUUGGGUAGGGGAGCGUUCUGUAAGCCUGCGAAGGUGUGCUGUGAGGCAUGCUGGAGGUAUCAGAAGUGCGAAUGCUGACAUAAGUAACGAUAAAGCGGGUGAAAAGCCCGCUCGCCGGAAGACCAAGGGUUCCUGUCCAACGUUAAUCGGGGCAGGGUGAGUCGACCCCUAAGGCGAGGCCGAAAGGCGUAGUCGAUGGGAAACAGGUUAAUAUUCCUGUACUUGGUGUUACUGCGAAGGGGGGACGGAGAAGGCUAUGUUGGCCGGGCGACGGUUGUCCCGGUUUAAGCGUGUAGGCUGGUUUUCCAGGCAAAUCCGGAAAAUCAAGGCUGAGGCGUGAUGACGAGGCACUACGGUGCUGAAGCAACAAAUGCCCUGCUUCCAGGAAAAGCCUCUAAGCAUCAGGUAACAUCAAAUCGUACCCCAAACCGACACAGGUGGUCAGGUAGAGAAUACCAAGGCGCUUGAGAGAACUCGGGUGAAGGAACUAGGCAAAAUGGUGCCGUAACUUCGGGAGAAGGCACGCUGAUAUGUAGGUGAAGUCCCUCGCGGAUGGAGCUGAAAUCAGUCGAAGAUACCAGCUGGCUGCAACUGUUUAUUAAAAACACAGCACUGUGCAAACACGAAAGUGGACGUAUACGGUGUGACGCCUGCCCGGUGCCGGAAGGUUAAUUGAUGGGGUUAGCGCAAGCGAAGCUCUUGAUCGAAGCCCCGGUAAACGGCGGCCGUAACUAUAACGGUCCUAAGGUAGCGAAAUUCCUUGUCGGGUAAGUUCCGACCUGCACGAAUGGCGUAAUGAUGGCCAGGCUGUCUCCACCCGAGACUCAGUGAAAUUGAACUCGCUGUGAAGAUGCAGUGUACCCGCGGCAAGACGGAAAGACCCCGUGAACCUUUACUAUAGCUUGACACUGAACAUUGAGCCUUGAUGUGUAGGAUAGGUGGGAGGCUUUGAAGUGUGGACGCCAGUCUGCAUGGAGCCGACCUUGAAAUACCACCCUUUAAUGUUUGAUGUUCUAACGUUGACCCGUAAUCCGGGUUGCGGACAGUGUCUGGUGGGUAGUUUGACUGGGGCGGUCUCCUCCUAAAGAGUAACGGAGGAGCACGAAGGUUGGCUAAUCCUGGUCGGACAUCAGGAGGUUAGUGCAAUGGCAUAAGCCAGCUUGACUGCGAGCGUGACGGCGCGAGCAGGUGCGAAAGCAGGUCAUAGUGAUCCGGUGGUUCUGAAUGGAAGGGCCAUCGCUCAACGGAUAAAAGGUACUCCGGGGAUAACAGGCUGAUACCGCCCAAGAGUUCAUAUCGACGGCGGUGUUUGGCACCUCGAUGUCGGCUCAUCACAUCCUGGGGCUGAAGUAGGUCCCAAGGGUAUGGCUGUUCGCCAUUUAAAGUGGUACGCGAGCUGGGUUUAGAACGUCGUGAGACAGUUCGGUCCCUAUCUGCCGUGGGCGCUGGAGAACUGAGGGGGGCUGCUCCUAGUACGAGAGGACCGGAGUGGACGCAUCACUGGUGUUCGGGUUGUCAUGCCAAUGGCACUGCCCGGUAGCUAAAUGCGGAAGAGAUAAGUGCUGAAAGCAUCUAAGCACGAAACUUGCCCCGAGAUGAGUUCUCCCUGACUCCUUGAGAGUCCUGAAGGAACGUUGAAGACGACGACGUUGAUAGGCCGGGUGUGUAAGCGCAGCGAUGCGUUGAGCUAACCGGUACUAAUGAACCGUGAGGCUUAACCUUACAACGCCGAAGCUGUU
rnacentral:rRNA from 1 species